UUGUUAUUUAAUCUAGAAUGUAUUGUUUUGUUGUAUUUCUUUAGAAAAUUGGUAAAUUCCAUUUGUCCAGCAGGCCAUUGGAACAUGUCUGUACUGACAGAUUUUGAGGCUCUCUGUUAUGCUCUCAAGGCCAUUUGGUUUUGCUUUGUCAAAUCCCACAGCCAGUUGCCCAAGAAAGAAAUAUGAAACAGAAGUCACUCCACCUGAGUCAGAUGAGAUUACCCCAACACCAACAAUC